rnacentral:rRNA from 1 species
UACGUAGGGGGCAAGCGUUGUCCGGAAUCAUUGGGCGUAAAGCGCGUGUAGGCGGCCCGGUAAGUCCGCUGUGAAAAGUCGGGGGCUCAACCCUCGGAUGCCGGUGGAUACUGUCGGGCUCGAGUACGGAAGAGGCGAGUGGAAUUCCUGGUGUAGCGGUGAAAUGCGUAGAUAUCUGGAGGAACACCGGUGGCGAAGGCGAGUCUCUGGACAUUUCCUGACGCUGAGGCACGAAAGCCAGGGGAGCAAACGGG